UACGUAGGGUGCGAGCGUUGUCCGGAAUUACUGGGCGUAAAGCGUGCGUAGGCGGUUCGUUAAGUCUGUUGUGAAAGCCCCCGGGCUCAACCUGGGAAUGGCAAUGGAUACUGGCGAGCUAGAGUGUGUCAGAGGAUGGUGGAAUUCCCGGUGUAGCGGUGAAAUGCGUAGAGAUCGGGGAGGAACAUCAGUGGCGAAGGCGGCCAUCUGGGGACAACACUGACGCUGAGGCACGAAAGCGUGGGGGAGCAAACAGG
rnacentral:rRNA from 1 species